CGGUAAUUCCAGCUCCAAUAGCGUAUACUAAAGUUGUUGCAGUUAAAAAGCUCGUAGUUGGAUUUCUGCGGGGACGGAGCGGCCGGACGCAACUUGCGUCUCGAGCUAGCGCUUUCCCCACAUCCUGCCGCGAACCGUGCUACCAUUAGUUUGGUGGCGCUGGGGAUCGGCUCGAUUACUUUGAGAAAAAUAGAGUGUUCAAAGCAGGCCACACGCCUUGAAUAAGUUAGCAUGGAAUAAUGACUAAGGACUUUGGUUCUUUUCGUUGGUGUUCGGGACUGAAGUAAUGAUUGAUAGGGACAGUUGGGGCGGUCCGUAUUCCAAAGCGAGAGGUGAAAUUCUUAGACCUUCGGAAGACGAACAGCUGCGAAAGCGUUCCGCAAGGAUGUUCCCUUUGAUCAAGAACGAAAGUUGGGGGAUCGAAGACGAUCAGAUACCGUCGUAGUCUCAACUAUAAACUAUACCAGCUAGGGAUCGGCCAACGUUUAAUUAUUCGACUUGGUCGGCACCUUAUGAGAAAUCAAAGCAUCUGGGUUCCGGGGGGAGUAUGGUCGCAAGGCUGAAACUUAAAGGAAUUGACGGAAGGGCACCACCAGGCGUGGAGCCUGUGGCUUAAUUUGACUCAACACGGGAAAACUUACCAGGUCCAGACAUAGGAAGGAUUGACAGGUUGAUAGCUCUUUCUUGAUUCUGUGGGUGGUGGUGCAUGGCCGUUUUUAGUCGGUGAAGUGAUUUGUCUGCUUAAUUGCGUUAACGGACGAGACCCCAGCCUGCUAAAUAGCGCGGCCGAGCUUUGCUCGGUACGAGCUUCUUAGAGGGACCAUGAUGCGCGAUAGCACAAGGAAGUUUGGGGCAACAACAGGUCUGUGAUGCCCUUAGAUGUUCUGGGCCGCACACGGGCUACACUGGCGCCCGCAACGAGCAUAUCAGCUGGCCCGAGAGGGUCUUGGCUAAUCUUUGGAACCGGCGCCGUGCUUGGGAUUGACCAUUGCAAUUGUUGGUCAUGCAACGAGGAAUGCCUUGUAAACGCGAGUCAUCAGCUCGCAUUGAAUACGUCCCUGCCCUUUGUACACACCGCCCGUCGCUCCUACCGAUGAAUGUUCCGAUGAAAUUUUCGGAGAGCGCCGGAGAACGGGGCUCUGCCCUGCAGAACUGGAGGCUCAAAGUCACUUAAAUCUGAACAUUUCGAGGAAGGAGAAGUCGUAACAAGGUAGCCG
rnacentral:rRNA from 1 species